rnacentral:lncRNA from 1 species
GUUGAAUGAUUUUCUAUUAAUUAGUAGUACACAGCUAUUUUUAUCAAUUUAUGCUUAAACUGCCUUAUGAUUUCAAUGAAAUUUCUUAGCUUUUACUUGUUGAAUAAUUUUUUCAAUUGGGAAUCUUUUCAUAAUUCAAAAUAGUUCCUGAAAAUUAAUGCAUCCUUCAAUGUCUUCUACUUAAGCUGGGUGCAUUUAAAAUGCAACACAAUUCUUUGAAAGGAGACUAUGACAUUUGAGCAUAAAGCCUAUAAGAAAAAGAAAUGUCUUCCCUCCCCC